UACAGUUUUAUCUUUAUAGCUAGGUACAGCGGUCAUUUUAAUUGAUUAACAUACAAGGAUCUACCUCAUUCUUGACCUCAACUUACAAAUUAGUUACAUUGUAAUAUUCAUAAGACUAUGACACUAUUUUCUUGCAACUUGUUUUAUAAUUAUAGAUUCUGAAUAUUCGAAAAAAAAAUACAUUAUUGAAAUUCCUAGCAAUACAAACGCCGUAAGUGGCAUCAUUGCCUGGUAUUAAACCGUACUAUGAGGGACGCCAUUAUUACAGUCUGUUAUUGUGAAAUCGAUAUUAGCCGAGUUCAGUGUUUGGUGUCUCUUUAAACUGUGUUUUUUUAUUUAAUUCAAUAAAAAUUCCAAAGUGGUGUAUAAUAUGCCGACAAUUACAGGAAAAGAGCCAAAUAUGUGCUACUUCUUUUCACAAAAUACCAUAAGAUUCUGCAAUACGAGCAGUGUGGCUAGAAAAUUUAGCCAUAUCUGAAUAUGAUUUAUCAAAGGAUAAUUAUGUCUGUUCGAAACAUUUCCGUGCUACAGAUAUUAAGGAAAACGAUGCCUCACACAUGGAGCUAUCCCUAUUAGUACAACAUUUGGAAGCAGUGUAGAUGAAAAGGUUUUGCCGUCUCAAAGGUUGCUUCCUUCGAGAAAUUGCCAGUGAAGGAAAUUUUAUAGAUGUUGCUAUAAAACAUCUUCAAUCACAUGUUGUCCCUGAUCCGUAAGAGAGGAGCUGUCAAUGCUAUGAGCUCAAAAUUCAGUUUAUUUUUGUUGUGUGCAUAUAAAACCUGCUUGGAACAUGUUUAUUUUCCCAUAUGAUUAAAUGUUCAAUGUAACUUAAUUUUUCUGCUACUUUUAGUACAAAUAUGUUUUGUUUUCUUUGCAUUGUUUAUA